CCUUCCUUGACCACCACAGAUGGAAGUGAUCCCUCACUCCUCUUUGAUGACACUUCUCUCUGCUAAGCAAUGUGCUUGUUCACCCCUGUGGUCUCAUAAACUCCCUCAACUGGGACUUUCCUGAAGGCUGACCUCUGUGAUUGUCCCUGUGGGGACCUAGUGACCUACCAGGCCCACAGCAGUCAUUACUCAACACCCAAAACUUUGCUGCAGUCUCAGUGUCCCAUUCUCAGACAUCCUGCAGCCAGUACUGCUCAGACCAUAGGAAACUUUCUCAACGAAAACAGAAUUUCCAUGCCACAAUUCCGAAACAGGGAGUCUGAGGCCAAGAGUGAAGAAGCUGUCCUGAAGCUUGUUUAAAGGAAACCCACAAAAAGCUUUCAGAGAGCACUUCCUCAGUGAUGGAAGUACACUUUCCUGCUGCUGUGACAGCCUCUGAGAUGAGCCUUCUCCUCUUUUAUUAGAAGAAGUUAUGAGAGGAAGAGACACCCUAAAUGAUACUCCUAUAACUUCAGAAAAAGCUGACUGCAAUUCUGUCAUCUGUAAGGAACAGUAUAUGUCACUGUCACUGAAACAGAAGACUGAAAAUUAGAGCAUGAACAUAUAAACUGGAAGGGGAAAAAUAAAUCAGGUCCAUCUUGUUUUAACAUUCAGCAAUAUUUUUAAGUAUCUCUAAAGAACCUUGAAAGAAAAGAGCUGAAAAGAGUCUUGGACCUUCAGGAAUAUUAGAAUCUGGUUUUCAAUUACAUUUUGACCUGAAAAUGAAAUAAACCCUCUAUAGUAAUGACUUGAGCUGUCUCUACAGCUCGCCUGUUUGCACAAUUGAAAUUGUUUCAUUUCCAGGGGUGCCUUCUACUGCACUCCAGGAGCCAGGCUAAAAUCAGAAACAGUUACAGCUCUCACAUCUCCUGGGAAGAAAACUUUAGCAGAAGCAGCAGUUCUGGAAGCAGGGAGGUAGGUGAUUUAACACCAGAUUCUGGAAGGCUCAUUUGUACCCUGCACUGACACUUGCUGGGCUCUGUGGUGGUCCUGCUGGUUGGUCCCUACCAUCUGGUCCUGACCAGAUGAUUAGUCUAAGUCAGUGGUUGCAGAGAUUGUUUUGCCCUUUAUAAAAUUUUUAUUUGUCACAUCUUAGGGGGUGCUACUGGUAUCUAAUGGGUAGAAGAUAAGGGAUGUUACUAAACAUCCUACAGUGCACAAGUCAGCUCUUCACAACAAAGAAUGACCUGGCCCAAAAUAUCAAGAGGGCCAAGGUGGGGAAAUCCUGGUCUCUGGGUCUCAUUUACCAAUGGUUGCUUUAGAAAUAGGUGUGUGACUUAAUCCCAGUUCCAGACUUGAGGUAAAGUCAGUCAAAAGGUGUCUGAGAAAGUUUCUUUCAUUCCUCAGAGGAACCAGAAAAAAAAUAUUUCUUCUUUUGGCUGUUGUAGUAAUGGAUCAGAUGUCUGGAGCAAUUGUAGUCCUUUAUAACCACAAAAACAAUCAUUUUGAGAUCAAUAUCAUAAUAUUAAGUAAAGUGGGAAAUGUUGAUGACUUAUAACCAUCAGUUCCACUCACAGAUAUAUAUCCUAGAGAGAUAUGUAUAAGAGUGCACUGAGAGACAAAUACACAAGAAUUUGGAAACAUGGCAAUACUUAAAUCUCAGAAAUA